CAUUACUAACGUAUUGCCAGGAAGCUUUCUGAAGCUUGUGUAGCUUGUGGUAAUUAGACGGACCGUGAUGCGACUUGUGUCCGGAGGAGUGGGCGGCUCUCCUACUGCUUCACCAGAAGACAAUAUUUUGCGAUUGCUUGUAAAUUAUGUCAGGAGGCAAGUUUGAUCACCCUGCACGUAAACUUCAUGCACGAGAUAUAUGCAAGCUGCAAAACAUAGGUGACCAGUGGCACUUCCGUGAAGAUGGUAUAUCCUUUAAUGUGCGCCUGAUAUGGGUUCAGGGAAAGGUAGUGUCAUACAAUCUCAACAAAAGUGAGGUAAUCUUGGAUGAUGGAGGCUUUAAAAUCAACAUUUCCAAUUGCCAAAACAUUCCUGGUGGAAACUCGUGGAUUAUGGAAGGUCAAUAUGUAAUGGUGGUUGGGGAAAUUGAAGAAGUCGCUAGUUCCAGGGUAGUGCGAGCAAUCAAGAUGGCCGACCUUUCCACAAAUGUAGUCCAUCAAACUAUGUGGAAUCAUGAAGUUACUGAAGUUAAAAUGUUAUUGAAAGAAAACCAAAGUAUGUGUAGAUGAUAUAAUAUUAGUCUAGGUACUGUACUUAGGAAGUUGUAAAGGAACAGUUGCAAAUUUUGAUGCUUAUCAUAAUUAAACAGUAGCCUGUUUUUCCUUAUUAAAUGUAAACAUUUUCACACUGCUGAGUGGCUUGUGUGCAGCCCGGGAAACCCAGAACAUUUAUAGUCACAAAUGCAUGGAGGCUGGACCACCAAAGUGUUUACAAACAAUUUGACAAUUUCAAUUAAUUUGUAAGGAAAAUUCUUAACUUAAUACUGUAUGAGUUUGCAUAGCAGAAAGAAUCCUUGCUAGUGUACCAUCUCUCUAAACACUACAGCUGCUUUCUCAGGAGCAACAGGCUUGAAGGCUGCCAAUCAAGGACUGGUGUACUGCUGAUGACUUGUUGAUCCAUGCCAUGGAUAUAGAAGACAGCUGAUCCAUACCUGGAUUCAUUCGAGUCUCAGUGCUUCUGGAAAACAUUCCUCUCCACCUCACCCAACAUGACCAUCACCUAACACAUGAUAUAUCCUACAGCCUGCCCUGUCUUUAUAAAGUUACAUGUUAUUUGUCGACAAUAAUUUAUAAAGAAUAUAAACAGUUUUGUCAAUUGUUAUAUGUUUGUGUGGUGAUAUUAAGAGAGUUUUGACAUCAAGAAAACAAUAUUACAGUAAACGCUACCCAAUCUCAAUUUGGUCCCAAUUUGUAAGUUCCCUAGUCGACAUUACGUUGGUGAUAUAAGUGACCCAAACACAGAGCCAUCUAAACUGGAGUUAGUGUACUGUAAUUUAUAAGACAGCAGGCUGUAGGAAACAUCCUGUGUCGCCUGUUAGGCGAUGCUUCUGUAGGGCUAAUUGGAGAGAAGAGGGGAGCAGUGUAUCCAGUGACAUUGAGAAUCUAAUGAAUCCAGGUGUGAAUCGGCUGCCUUGUAUAUCCAUAUAUUUGCAGUGGCUGCAAGCCAACAAAUCCAAUGAUUUUGGUUUUGUCAAUUGUUAUAUAAGUGAUUAAUUCUCAUUUAUACCAAAAAGGAAAUUACAGACUUUGUAAAGAUAUCCUUGUUUAUUGUGUUUUAUCAUGUCAAUAAAACUAUUUUACCGUA
rnacentral:misc_RNA from 1 species